GCUCCCCAAUCCGGUGGUGGGUAAUACAUUGCUUCCCAGGAUCUGUGAUCCUUGAACUAAGUCUUAGAGGAUGAGGAGGAGUUAGCCCGUCAAUGGAUGGUGUUGUGGGCAGCAGCAGUGUUCACAAAGGUGCAGCUGAAGCAGAAGCAAGUGAGGGGAUGAUGGACAAGGAGACACACCAGGAGCAGGCGCUAGCCCGGAAGAGGAGACUCACCCUGAGCAGGGGCUAGCCCAGAAGAGGAGACUCAGUCACCCAGUGCCGGGGCUAGACCGGAAAAGGAGACUCAGUCACCCGGUGCAGGGGCUAGACCGGAAAAGGAGACUCACCCGGAGCAGGAGCUAGACCGGAAGAGGCCGGCUUUGGCUUCUAUGCGGUUCCUCCAACAACGCAGGCAUUACAGAGGAGUUAGUGCCGCUUGGAGGAGAGACCUCUGCAGUUACAUAGACCUCGGCUGUGUGAUCUUGGACAUUCUUAAAGCACCUUAGCCUGUUACUGGCACUGCAUAGCCUCCAAGUAAAGCAACCUCUUGAACUUUGUUUAAAACAGUAUUUUCUCAACACAGUUUGACAUGGUGGUUCCUGUUGUUUACAGAUCACUGGAAUUCAGAGAGAAUCAGACAUAUGAAACAAAGUUCAGGGAUGUAUGCUGCAGCUAAGCACUUGGAAGAGCGAGUCCGUGGAGAUUAGAUGCGGAAAAAGAAAAUGAAGGGAAGGCGAGAAAAUGUUAGCUGGAAGAGAGCGAGCGCUUGCAAUCUGCACCCCCUCCCGCCCCUCGAUGCAGGCAAUUCCUCGC